CCUAGCCCGCUGUUGGAAAACCCCACCAAAAUUUGAAAGAAGCCCCGCCAAAACCUGCCCGAUAGCAUUUUGCCCCAUCCAGCCUGCUCACUGGUAAGCCU